rnacentral:rRNA from 1 species
AGUGAACGCUGGCGGUAGGCCUAACACAUGCAAGUCGAACGGCAGCACAGUAAGAGCUUGCUCUUACGGGUGGCGAGUGGCGGACGGGUGAGGAAUACAUCGGAAUCUACUUUUUCGUGGGGGAUAACGUAGGGAAACUUACGCUAAUACCGCAUACGACCUACGGGUGAAAGCAGGGGAUCUUCGGACCUUGCGCGAUUGAAUGAGCCGAUGUCGGAUUAGCUAGUUGGCGGGGUAAAGGCCCACCAAGGCGACGAUCCGUAGCUGGUCUGAGAGGAUGAUCAGCCACACUGGAACUGAGACACGGUCCAGACUCCUACGGGAGGCGGCAGUGGGGAAUAUUGGACAAUGGGCGCAAGCCUGAUCCAGCCAUACCGCGUGGGUGAAGAAGGCCUUCGGGUUGUAAAGCCCUUUUGUUGGGAAAGAAAAGCAGCAGGUUAAUACCCCGCUGUUCUGACGGUACCCAAAGAAUAAGCACCUGCUAACUUCGUG